UACGGAGGGUGCAAGCGUUGUUCGGAAUUACUGGGCGUAAAGCGCGUGUAGGCGGAUGAGGUAGUCGGGUGUGAAAUCCCUCGGCUCAACCGAGGAACUGCGCACGAAACCACUCAUCUUGAGGUCCGGAGGGGAUCGGGGGAAUUCCCAGUGUAGAGGUGAAAUUCGUAGAUAUUGGGAGGAACACCGGUGGCGAAGGCGCCGAUCUGGACGGACCCUGACGCUCAAACGCGAAAGCGUGGGUAGCAAACAGGAUUAGAAACCCCGGUAGU
rnacentral:rRNA from 1 species